UAUUGGACUAUGGGGGCAACCUUGAUCCAGCCAUGCCGCGUGUGUGAAGAAGGUCUUCGGUUUGUAAAGAACUUUAAGUUGGGAGGAAGGGCUUUAGGUUAAUACCCUGAAGUUUUGACGUUACCACCAGAAUAAGCACCGUCUAACACUCUGCCAGCAGCCGCGAUAAUACAGAGGGUGCAAGCGUUAAUCGGAAUUACUGGGCGUAAAGCGCGCGUAGGUGGUUCAGUAAGAUGGGUGUGAAAUCCCCGGGCUUAACCUGGGAACUGCUUUCAUAACUGCUGAGCUAGAGUACGGUAGAGGGUAGUGGAAUUUCCUGUGUAGCGGUGAAAUGCGUAGAUAUAGGAAGGAACACCAGUGGCGAAGGCGACUACCUGGACUGAUACUGACACUGAGGUGCGAAAGCGUGGGGAGCAAAC
rnacentral:rRNA from 1 species